ACACAAGAAGGGAGGUGGUCCGACGAAUGAAUGCAUAUCGGACGUGUGAGGUGGCUGCGGGCUAACGCCGCGCGCCUCGUCCGCUGAUGCGUACGUGUGUGCAUGGCGGGCCGCAAUCCAACGCAGUCACCCGACCCGUGGGCUACCGGACUCGUCCGGCCGGUCUCGGAACGACAGUUCCGAGCAGCAGCCCGCGGGUCGUCUGCC
rnacentral:sRNA from 1 species